AGAAUCCACUAGGGGUGCCGUUUGGCUGAGACAAGGAAUCUUGAUCCCUUUGAACCUGAUCUGGCUUAUACCAGCGUAGGAAAGUGGUACGGCGUUGUC
rnacentral:ncRNA from 2 species